AUAUCAACUUUUCAAAGAUUACAAAAUAGCCCCACAAGUGGAUAAAUCCACUAGGGAGGCCGGCCAUUCAAUGGGAUGGUGGGAAGUCUCACCCACAUGCUACAAUUUAAUGCCAAAGUAGGAAAAAAAUCCAAAUUUGCAUGUCACUUGGUUUUGGCAUUAAAAGGCUUUAAUGAGAAAGUUUGAUGGAAAUCUCCUAGACAAGUCUAGGGUUUUAAUAAGUUUUAAUAUAGUUAUGGAUGGUAAGAACAUCACCCAAAACCAUAAAACCAUGCAUGAAAACCAAAUAAAACCAUUUUCACCCAAAACCCAAUUAUGAACACCAAGAACAAAACCAUGAACACUUUUUCAAGAUUUGUGUAUUCUUGGUGAUUUUUCAAACCCAAAAACAAAAGUGACAAGAACACUUCUUUUAAGCUUUAACAGGAUGUGUGAGUGGUUUACAAUAAAACACAAACACAACCCAAAACCACCCCCAAAACCGUGCCUACCCUUUUGAACAAAACCCCAAAUUUUGUUCAUGACUUAUUCUUCAUUUAUGCAUACAAAACAACUUUUACAUGCAUAUCUUUUUCAACUCUUGAUUUACAUUUUUCAACCAUUGAAAAACAAAAAGACAACAUACUUUUAAAUGAAGAAAUAAUAUGUCAAACUAGUCUUAAACUCAUUUUUUCAUUUCAUGCAUACAAAACACUUUUGCAAACAUAUCUUUCUCAACUUUUGACUAACAUUUUUCAACCAUUGAAAAACAAAAGACAAACAUACUUUGAAUGAAACAAUAAAUAUGUCAUGCAUAACAUUAAUAUACCCAUAUGCAUAAAAUCCAAAAGGACACAUUAUAUAUAAACCAUUGGCUCUGAUACCACUUGAAGGGAAAAUUAUGAGAUUUCUAGAAUGGGAUUUCAUAAUGACUAUCAUGCAUAUUCAAAUCAAAUUUAAUAUACGAAAG
rnacentral:lncRNA from 1 species